GAUGAAGAACGCAGCGAACUGCGAUAAGUAGUGUGAAUUGCAGAAUUCAGUGAAUCAUCGAAUCUUUGAACGCACAUUGCGCCCCUUGGUAUCCCGAGGGGCAUGCCUGUUCGAGCGUCAUUUCACCACUCAAGCCUGGCUUGGUGUUGGGCGACGUCCUCUUUGGGGACGCGCCUCGAAACGCUCGGCGGCGUGGCACCGGCUUUAAGCGUAGCAGAAUCUUUCGCUUUGGAAGUCGGGGCCCCGUCUGCCGGAAGACCUGCUCGCAAGGUUGACCUCGGAUCAGGCAGGGAUACCCGCUGAACUUAAGCAUAUCAAUAAGCGGAGGA
rnacentral:misc_RNA from 1 species